CCAAAGCUGCGUUAGGGAAAGGAGUGAAAAUCCUUUUUGAGCCUUUUCACCAUAUAGUACUACUCAAAAAUAUUGUAACGUACUGCCCGACCAUGG
rnacentral:sRNA from 1 species